GACGAACGCUGGCGGCGUGCUUAACACAUGCAAGUCGAACGGAAAGGCCCUGCUUGCAGGGUGCUCGAGUGGCGAUCGGGUGAGUAACACGUGGGUGAUCUGCCCCUUACUUUGGGAUAAGCCUGGGAAACUGGGUCUAAUACUGGAUAGGACCAUGCUGUAGGUGGUGUGGUGGAAAGAUUAGUUUCGGUAAGGGAUGAGCUCGCGGCCUAUCAGCUUGUUGGUGGGGUAAUGGCCUACCAAGGCGUCGACGGGUAGCCGGCCUGAGAGGGUGGACGGCAACAUUGGGACUGAGAUACGGCCCAGACUCCUACGGGAGGCAGCAGUGGGGAAUAUUGCACAAUGGGCGCAAGCCUGAUGCAGCGACGCCGCGUGGGGGAUGACGGCCUUCGGGUUGUAAACUCCUUUCAGCCAUGACGAAGCCCUUGUGGUGACGGUAGUGGUAGAAGAAGCACCGGCUAACUACGUG
rnacentral:rRNA from 1 species